AACGUAGGACGCAAGCGUUAUCCGGAGUUACUGGGCGUAAAGGGCGCGUAGGCGGGAUGGCAAGUCGGUCGUGAAAUCCCUCGGCUCAACCGAGGAACGUCGAUCGAUACUGCUGUUCUUGAGGAUUGCAGAGGAGACUGGAAUUCCCGGUGUAGCGGUGAAAUGUGUAGAGAUCGGGAGGAACACCGGUGGCGAAGGCGGGUCUCUGGGCAAUUCCUGACGCUGAGGCGCGAAAGCGUGGGGAGCAAACGGG
rnacentral:rRNA from 1 species